UUUGAUACUAUGUAAAAAGAAGAUUCCCCAUCACAUCAAACUUGCGGUAUAUGCAUGGAGUACUAAAUGUAGAAAAAAUUAAAAACUAAUUGCACAGUUUUGUUGUACUUUGCGAGACGAAUCUUUUGAGCCUAAUUAGUCAAUGUUUGGACAAUAAUUCACAAAUACAAACGAAACGCUACAGUGUGCUACAGUGCUAGCACAGUGAUUUUGACACUCCAAAAUUGGGCAACUAAACAUGGCCUAGGAUCAACGAUGCCCGAGUAGUCUCCGCUUCUGACUUGGUUACGGAGUUGAUGUUAUAUCCCCC
rnacentral:lncRNA from 1 species